UUGAACGCUGGCGGCAGGCCUAACACAUGCAAGUCGAGCGGAUGAAGGGAGCUUGCUCCUGGAUUCAGCGGCGGACGGGUGAGUAAUGCCUAGGAAUCUGCCUGGUAGUGGGGGAUAACGUCCGGAAACGGGCGCUAAUACCGCAUACGUCCUGAGGGAGAAAGUGGGGGAUCUUCGGACCUCACGCUAUCAGAUGAGCCUAGGUCGGAUUAGCUAGUUGGUGGGGUAAAGGCCUACCAAGGCGACGAUCCGUAACUGGUCUGAGAGGAUGAUCAGUCACACUGGAACUGAGACACGGUCCAGACUCCUACGGGAGGCAGCAGUGGGGAAUAUUGGACAAUGGGCGAAAGCCUGAUCCAGCCAUGCCGCGUGUGUGAAGAAGGUCUUCGGAUUGUAAAGCACCUUAAGUUGGGAGGAAGGGCAGUAAGUUAAUACCUUGCUGUUUUGACGUUACCAACAGAAUAAGCACCGGCUAACCUCGUG
rnacentral:rRNA from 1 species